rnacentral:lncRNA from 1 species
GCAGGUUGGACACAGCAAUCCUCGCUGCGAGCCCAUAAUUUCAGUCUUCUUUAAUCUCUAACUGAACCAAAUAACAAAAGCUUAAGCUUAAGCAUCCACACACACAGAAAAUGCAAAACAAAUCUCACAUAAAACUGUCUCAAGUCAGAUACAUGGGAAACCAAGGUGAGAUGAUCAUGUUUCUUAUAGGAAACAAUAACCAUAGGUAAAUACAUACAUUAUUGUCCUGUCAGAAGGUAGUUAGUUGUACUUCAAGUGGUACUGGGACAUGAAACUAAGCCAUUGAAAUUUUUGAAACAGAAUAGAUGAUAACACCAAUGUAGGCCAUGAACAAAAAUACAAAGAAGAACAUAAUCGAGCAUAAUCCACCUCGACCGAAGCAACGGUUGAUCAACAGCAGUUACCUGAACCUCGUGAUGCUAGACCAUAUAUCUAUGGUCACCCUUUUUAUUUCUCCCGCCUAACCUGAAGUAGUUAUCUUGACAAAAUAGGGAGGCACACUUCAACAAAUCAGUUCUUAGUAAUUAUAGAAUGCCCUGUAUUAAAGGAAGUAAAAUCAAGCAUGUAUGUGCUCUAACUUUCAUAACUGCAUGUAAACUCAACAACUAACUUUAUAUACCAAAGUGUACAAUUCUCAAGUUUAGCUACAGAGACGAAAACAGGGACAAAGGGCGUGCACCUGAAACCUGACGGAGUUUGCUUCGGCCUCCCUCUCAAUGGCCAAC